rnacentral:rRNA from 1 species
AUUGAACGCUGGCGGAAUGCUUUACACAUGCAAGUCGAACGGCAGCACGGACUUCGGUCUGGUGGCGAGUGGCGAACGGGUGAGUAAUGUAUCGGAACGUGCCCAGUCGUGUGGGAUAACGUAGUGAAAAUUACGCUAAUACCGCAUACGAUCUAUGGAUGAAAGCGGGGGAUCGCAAGACCUCGCGCGAUUGGAGCGGCCGAUAUCAGAUUAGGUAGUUGGUGGGGUAAAGGCCCACCAAGCCAACGAUCUGUAGCUGGUCUGAGAGGACGACCAGCCACACUGGAACUGAGACACGGUCCAGACUCCUACGGGAGGCAGCAGUGGGGAAUUUUGGACAAUGGGCGAAAGCCUGAUCCAGCCAUUCCGCGUGCAGGAUGAAGGCCCUCGGAUUGUAAACUGCUUUUGUACAGAACGAAAAGGUUUCUACUAAUACUAGGAGCUCAUGACGGUACUGUAAGAAUAAGCACCGGCUAACUACGUGCCAGCAGCCGCCAUAA